CCUUUCCUCUGGCACAUUUCCCUCUGCCUUCAAACAUGCAACCAUAACCCCAAUUCUGAAAAAGCCCAACCUUGAUACCAACUCCCCAUCCAACUACCGCCCUAUCUCGCUACUGCCAUUUGCCUCCAAGAUCCUCGAGAGAGUUGUCUACGCCACAUUGACAGACUUUCUUGAAUCCAACUCUCUGCUUGACCCCCUUCAGUCUGGAUUCCGCGUUGGUCACUCUGUCGAAACUGCUGUGACCAAAGUAUCCAACGAUUUAAUUGCUGCUAAAUCUCACGGCCAAUACUCUAUCCUAAUCCUCCUUGAUCUUUCUGCCGCCUUUGACACUGUUGAUCAUCAACAGCUUCUUCACAUUCUCCGUAACUUUGGUCUAUGGGAUUCUGCUCUCUCCUGGUGCUCCUCCUACCUCUCCCAGCGCUCCUUCAGUGUUUCUUUC